UUAAGGUGAAACACAGUGUACAACACGGGACUUGACCAUAGCUGCUUUUGGCAAGAGGUGUAUUGUAGCUGGCAUAAGAGAGCAGAUGGAAGCAUCUGCCUCGAGGGCAGGUGAGGAGGCUGAGGCUCAGAGGGGCCAAGCUGUACUCUGAAGAGCAGCACGAGAAGGGCGGGCUGGUUGUGAGCUGGAUUGGAGCAGAACAGCCAAGUAGCACGAGGUGACUGUGAAGGGUAUCCAUCUUGCUUUGCAGGUGCCCUGGCAGGCUCUCCACAGAAGCGGUUGAGGAUUUGAGAAGAGGUUGCAGCUCAUCAAGGAGCGACACGUGCAGGGAUGGCUUGAAAAUGGUAUGGCUGCUUUCUCUUCUGUUUAUCAGGUGUCCCAGGCAAUGUGGGCUGUGAUGUUAUUUCUUGAGAAUCGGAACAAAGCAGGUGCUGAUGGCGGUUUUUUGGUAAGCAAAGUGGUGCCCGAAGCCCUGUCCUGUGUAGCCUGAGCACGCCUCGCUGAGAAUGAAGCUUGCUUUCCAGCAGUUCCCAAAGCUGUUGAAUCUGAAAUGCUGUGUCUGUUUUUUUUGUGUUGGGGUUGCACCUUGGUGAGUGUAGGGAUGGGUUUUAAGUGGGUGCAGCGGAGGGCCUGGCCCCAGUGUCCUGUAGCGUGUUUUGACCCAUCAACAUAGCCAUUUAGUUCUCAGGUAUCCUACUGAAGUGAUUUUUUCCUGUGAGUGGAAUGGAAUAGAAUUAUUUUUUGGUGUGUAAUCUGUUCUACUCCUAGAUUGUUCUUUCUAUGUAAAUGAAAGAUCGAGGUAAUUCCAGAUGGAAAAAGAAAUCAAUUGCUUGCUUAGUUGUAUUGUCCUUUUAAUAUUCAAAGCUACAGCAAAAGCAUGGGGAUUUUUGUUCCUAGAAACACCCUAGCUCUCCUGUCUGCACUCUGU